UGCGUUCCGACUGGUGAAGCGGAAACCGCCAUCAUUCUUUGGGGCGUCCUUCCUCAUGGGCUCCUUGGGUGGGAUGGGCUACUUUGCCUACUGGUACCUCAAGAAAAAAUACAUCUAGAGCCAGGCUGGGGCCUGGUGUGUGACUGGCGGUGUCUCUGUACUGUGUGCUUCCCAAAUCCCUCUCAGUUACUCACUGUCCCAUGAGCACUGGACAGAACUUCCUGCCCCUUCUUCCUAGUAAUUCUAUUGUCAGUGUGACAACAUUCCAUAGUUUAGAAGUAGACAAUGUCAACGCCGUGAUUUGAGGCCACGGCUCUACCAGAGGACAGAGAGAGAAAGCGAGAGAAAGGAAACCCAAAUGUCUUUUCUUCUGAUUCAAGGACUCGAGACGUUACUGUGGGGACUGGUUAGGAUCUGAGGGACCUCUUCUAUAGGACACUCCACACAACCCCCACCCCCAGGUCUCACUUUCCUGUGCCUUCUGCAUGUUGGGAAAGGGUCUGGGUGUCACUGCCGCUCAUGCUUAGAGUCCCCAAUAAAGCAUCCGGGAGG
rnacentral:lncRNA from 1 species